GAAAAUGAAUGUGCUUCUGUUGCA
rnacentral:siRNA from 1 species